ACGGGAGGCAGCAGUGGGGAAUAUUGCACAAUGGGCGCAAGCCUGAUGCAGCGAUGCCGCGUGAGGGAAGAAGGUUUUCGGAUUGUAAACCUCUGUCAUCGGGGACGAUAAUGACUGUACCCGAGAAGGAAGCUCCGGCUAACUACGUGCCAGCAGCCGCGGUAAUACGUAGGGAGCGAGCGUUAUCCGGAAUUACUGGGUGUAAAGGGAGUGUAGGCGGGACUGUAAGUCAGAUGUGAAAUAUGCCGGCUCAUCUGGCAGACUGCAUUUGAAACUGCGGUUCUUGAGUGAAGUAGAGGUAAGCGGCAUUCCUAGUGUCGCGUUGAAAUGCGUAGAUAUUAGGAGGAACAUCAGUGGCGAAGGCGGCUUACUGGGCUUUAACUGACGCUGAGUCUCGAAAGCGUGUGGAGCAAACAGGAUUAGAUACCCUGUUA
rnacentral:rRNA from 1 species